UACGUAGGGACCAAGCGUUGUUCGGAUUUACUGGGCGUAAAGGGCGCGUAGGCGGCCACUCAAGUCAUCUGUGAAAUCUCCGAGCUUAACUCGGAACGGUCAGAUGAUACUGUUUUGCUAGAGUACAGAAGGGGCAAUCGGAAUUCUUGGUGUAGCGGUGAAAUGCGUAGAUAUCAAGAGGAACACCUGAGGUGAAGACGGGUUGCUGGGCUGAUACUGACGCUGAAGCGCGAAAGCUAGGGUAGCAAACGGG
rnacentral:rRNA from 1 species